UACGUAGGGGGCAAGCGUUAUCCGGAUUCACUGGGUGUAAAGGGAGCGUAGACGGCCAUGCAAGCCUGGAGUGAAAGCCCAAGGCUCAACCAUGGGACUGCUUUGGAAACUGUAAAACUGGAGUGCAGGAGAGGUAAGCGGAAUUCCUAGUGUAGCGGUGAAAUGCGUAGAUAUUAGGAGGAACACCAGUGGCGAAGGCGGCUUACUGGACUGUAACUGACGUUGAGGCUCGAAGGCGUGGGGAGCAAACAGG
rnacentral:rRNA from 1 species